AGACCCGAAACCCGGUGAUCUAGCCAUGGGCAGGUUGAAGGUUGGGUAACACUAACUGGAGGACCGAACCGACUAAUGUUGAAAAAUUAGCGGAUGACUUGUGGCUGGGGGUGAAAGGCCAAUCAAACCGGGAGAUAGCUGGUUCUCCCCGAAAGCUAUUUAGGUAGCGCCUCGUGAAUUCAUCUCCGGGGGUAGAGCACUGUUUCGGCAAGGGGGUCAUCCCGACUUACCAACCCGAUGCAAACUGCGAAUACCGGAGAAUGUUAUCACGGGAGACACACGGCGGGUGCUAACGUCCGUCGUGAAGAGGGAAACAACCCAGACCGCCAGCUAAGGUCCCAAAGUCAUGGUUAAGUGGGAAACGAUGUGGGAAGGCCCAGACAGCCAGGAUGUUGGCUUAGAAGCAGCCAUCAUUUAAAGAAAGCGUAAUAGCUCACUGGUCGAGUCGGCCUGCGCGGAAGAUGUAACGGGGCUAAACCAUGCACCGAAGCUGCGGCAGCGACACUGUGUGUUGUUGGGUAGGGGAGCGUUCUGUAAGCCUGUGAAGGUGUGCUGUGAGGCAUGCUGGAGGUAUCAGAAGUGCGAAUGCUGACAUAAGUAACGAUAAAGCGGGUGAAAAGCCCGCUCGCCGGAAGACCAAGGGUUCCUGUCCAACGUUAAUCGGGGCAGGGUGAGUCGACCCCUAAGGCGAGGCCGAAAGGCGUAGUCGAUGGGAAACAGGUUAAUAUUCCUGUACUUGGUGUUACUGCGAAGGGGGGACGGAGAAGGCUAUGUUGGCCGGGCGACGGUUGUCCCGGUUUAAGCGUGUAGGCUGGUUUUCCAGGCAAAUCCGGAAAAUCAAGGCUGAGGCGUGAUGACGAGGCACUACGGUGCUGAAGCAACAAAUGCCCUGCUUCCAGGAAAAGCCUCUAAGCAUCAGGUAACAUCAAAUCGUACCCCAAACCGACACAGGUGGUCAGGUAGAGAAUACCAAGGCGCUUGAGAGAACUCGGGUGAAGGAACUAGGCAAAAUGGUGCCGUAACUUCGGGAGAAGGCACGCUGAU
rnacentral:rRNA from 1 species